UUUGAUUCUAGCUAUAAAAUUUAUUUUUUUUUUAUUUAUACAUGCAAAAAUUUUUUUACUCAUAAAAAAAAAAAUUAUUUAUUUAAAAUAACUAAUAUAUUUUAUGUCUGCAGUAAUUAAUAUUAGAUAAAUUAUAAUAGUAAGUUCUAGUUAAAAAUUAUAAGUUGGUAAAAUUCGUGCCAGCUACCGCGGUUAAACGAUAGACUUAAAUAAAUUUUUUUUAGAAAAAUGAAAAUUAAUAAUUUAAGAUAUUUUAUACUAAAAAAAUAGUUUAAUAUAAAUAAAUUUAUUAUUCUACAUAUAUCCUUAUAAUUUUUUCAUGAAAGCUAAAAUAAAAACAAGGAUUAGAUACCCUUCUAUUUUUAGCCUUUAAUAUCUAGGGGACUACAAAUACAUAUUUAAAACUCAAAGAACUUGGCGGUACUUUAUCUUAUUAGGGGAAUCUGUUUAUUAAUUCGAUAACCCACGAAAAUCUUACCUAUUUUUGAAAUUUCAAUUUGUAUACUGCCGUCAUCAGUUUAUCAUUUAAAUGUUAAUAAACAAAAAAAACUCUUUUUAAUAUGUCAGGUCAAAGUGCAGUAAAUAUAUAGGUUAAAAUGGAUUACAAUCUUAAUAAAAGGAAUGAAUAAUUAAUGAAAUAAAAAUGAAAAUGAACUUAAAAGUAAUAUUAAUUAAUUAUUUAAUAUGAAAUUAGAUAUCUAAAGUGUGUACAUAUCGCCCGUCACUCUUUUUGAAAAAAAAGAAAAGUCGUAACAUAGUAGGUAUAAUGGAAAUUGUGCCUU
rnacentral:ncRNA from 1 species